AUGGAGAAUGGUGAGAUGAGAAGAAUGCUGCAUAGAAAUCACCUCCUUGGGAAGCCUUCCUUGACCUCCAAAGCUGGCUUACAGUGUUUUCCCUGUGUAGUCCCCAAAGCAACCAACACAUAUGUAAUGAUUAAGAGAGUAGGUGUCAGUGUCUGAUUGACUGAACUUGAAUCCCAGGUCUGCCAUUUCAUAGCAGGUUCCUAACCCUGCUAUGCUUUGGUUUACACAUCUAUAAAACAGGAAUAAUAAUAAAAAAUAAUAUACCUCAUAGACAUUGUGAGAGAGAGGGUGAAGUCUGAGAGGAAACAAGCUGCAGUAGAACCACAAAUAUUAACUGAGGACUGACCAUGUGG
rnacentral:lncRNA from 1 species